rnacentral:rRNA from 1 species
GACGAACGCUGGCGGCGUGCUUAACACAUGCAAGUCGAACGAUGAAGCCGGAGCUUGCUCUGGUGAAUUAGUGGCGAACGGGUGAGUAACACGUGAGUAACCUGCCCUUGACUCUGGGAUAACUGCUAGAAAUGGUAGCUAAUACCGGAUACGACCCUCGGAGGCAUCUUCAGGGGGUGGAAAGAAUUUCGGUCAAGGAUGGACUCGCGGCCUAUCAGCUAGUUGGUGAGGUAAUGGCUCACCAAGGCGACGACGGGUAGCCGGCCUGAGAGGGGGACCGGCCACACUGGGACUGAGAGACGGCCCAGACUCCUACGGGAGGCAGCAGUGGGGAAUAUUGCACAAUGGGCGCAAGCCUGAUGCAGCAACGCCGCGUGAGGGAUGACGGCCUUCGGGUUGUAAACCUCUUUUAGUAGGGAAGAAGCGAAAGUGACGGUACCUGCAGAAAAAGCACCGGCUAACUACGUGCCAGCCGCCGCAGUAA